rnacentral:rRNA from 1 species
UAGGGAAUCUUCCGCAAUGGGCGAAAGCCUGACGGAGCAACGCCGCGUGAGUGAUGAAGGUCUUCGGAUCGUAAAACUCUGUUAUUAGGGAAGAACAUAUGUGUAAGUAACUGUGCACAUCUUGACGGUACCUAAUCAGAAAGCCACGGCUAACUACGUGCCAGCAGCCGCGGUAAUACGUAGGUGGCAAGCGUUAUCCGGAAUUAUUGGACGUAAAGCGCGCGUAGGCGGUUUUUUAAGUCUGAUGUGAAAGCCCACGGCUCAACCGUGGAGGGUCAUUGGAAACUGGAAAACUUGAGUGCAGAAGAGGAAAGUGGAAUUCCAUGUGUAGCGGUGAAAUGCGCAGAGAUAUGGAGGAACACCAGUGGCGAAGGCGACUUUCUGGUCUGUAACUGAAACCCUUUUUUUGGAAAAAAGGGGGGGGGAAAACGAGUUAANUAAACCCCGGGGGGCCCCCCCCCCAA